AGUUGAGAAGACAGUGGAAGAACUCACC
rnacentral:sRNA from 1 species